CCUACGGGUGGCAGCAGUGAGGAAUAUUGGUCAAUGGACGAGAGCCUGAACCAGCGAAGUAGCGUGAAGGAUGACUGCUCUAUGGGUUGUAAACUUCUUUUGUAAAGGAAUAAAAGGAGGCACGUGUGCAUUUUUGCAUGUACUUUAUGAAGAAGGAUCGGCUAACUCCGCGCCAGCAGCCGCGGUAAUACGGAGGAUCCGAGCGUUAUCCGGAUUUAUUGGGUUUAAAGGGAGCGUAGAUGGGUUGUUAAGUCAGUUGUGAAAGUGUGCGGCUCAACCGUAAAAUUGCAAUUGAUACUGGCAGUCUGGAGUGCAGGUGAGGUAAGCGGAAUUCGUGGUGUAGCGGUGAAAUGCUUAGAUAUCACGAAGAACCCCGAUUGCGAAGGCAGCUUACUAAACUGUGACUGACAUUGAUGCUCGAAAGUGUGGGUAGCAAACAGGAUUAGAUACCCGUGUAGUC
rnacentral:rRNA from 1 species